CCAGCAGCCGCGGUAAUUCCAGCUCCAAUAGCGUAUAUUUAAGUUGUUGCAGUUAAAAAGCUCGUAGUUGGAUUUCGGGUGGUGCUUGCCGGUCCGUCUUUCGUGAUGUGCACUGGUGUGGCUCUGCCUUGAUGCUGAGGCCCACGCCCUGGGCUUUGCUGUCCGGGGCUGGAAGGCAGCGAUGUUACUUUGAGUAAAUUAGAGUGUUCAAAGCAAGCCUGCGCUCUGAAUAUAUUAGCAUGGAAUAACAUGAUAGGACUCUGGCUUAUCUUGUUGGUCUGUGAGACCAGAGUAAUGAUUAAGAGGGACAGUCGGGGACAUUCGUAUUUCAUUGUCAGAGGUGA
rnacentral:rRNA from 1 species